AGUGAACGCUGGCGGUAGGCCUAACACAUGCAAGUCGAACGGCAGCACAGUAAGAGCUUGCUCUUACGGGUGGCGAGUGGCGGACGGGUGGGGAAUACAUCGGAAUCUACUUUUUCGUGGGGGAUAACGUAGGGAAACUUACGCUAAUACCGCAUACGACCUACGGGUGAAAGCAGGGGAUCUUCGGACCUUGCGCGAUUGAAUGAGCCGAUGUCGGAUUAGCUAGUUGGCGGGGUAAAGGCCCACCAAGGCGACGAUCCGUAGCUGGUCUGAGAGGAUGAUCAGCCACACUGGAACUGAGACACGGUCCAGACUCCUACGGGAGGCAGCAGUGGGGAAUAUUGGACAAUGGGCGCAAGCCUGAUCCAGCCAUACCGCGUGGGUGAAGAAGGCCUUCGGGUUGUAAAGCCCUUUUGUUGUGAAAGAAAAGCAGCAGGUUAAUACCCCGCUGUUCUGACGGUACCCAAAGAAUAAGCACCGGCUAACUUCGUG
rnacentral:rRNA from 1 species